ACGGAUACUAGAGCACCUAAGCAUUAAAACGAAAACAAAAAGUUUUCAUCAAAUAAGGUUUACAAUAUAACAUACAAUAAAUGUUACACUAAACUGCACCUUUUCAAAUUUAGGACCACCUCUACUGCCAUUUUUGUCAUUUACCACAAAAGACCAAAAACAACAAUACACAUAUCCAGGUUUGCUACAGUCCAAGUUAACUACAUAUCCACGUUGCCUUCAUUGCAAUUUAACUAUAAUUUCCAGACUUCACAAAGCAUAAACUCAACAUGUUGACAUUAUGAAUCCUCUCAAGUAACAAUCGACCAAAUACAAACAUAUUAAAAUAAAGUACAACGCAGGGCAUUAUUAUCAUCAAGUGUUGUCAGGAUACAUAAAAUCAAGAAAAAAGAGCUAAAAAAAAACCUACAAAAAAAACAAAAAGAGAAGACGAACCUCUAUGGUUCAUGGCUGCGGGUUCAAAACACAGAAUGCUGCUUCACAGAAUAUACAAUUUGUUUCUCACUUUCACCUUCACUACAGCCUACCACAACAAAUCGCCAAAAUCUCCAAACAAACAAAACUAAACAAACUAAAACUGAAAAUUCAGGCUCCGGCAAGAUACAUAAGGCAAGUAUACCAUUACCUAGGUGGGCAUUAUAGACCAAAAAGGACGACCCCAUUGGAAGGAAGGCAAAAUGAUAAGGGCAAUUCAGUAAACUUCAAACCAUCAACUCAGAAUUCGCGAUCGGGAAUCGUGAACAUCAAAUCCCUAGCAUUACUGUAAGUGUCUC
rnacentral:lncRNA from 1 species